rnacentral:rRNA from 1 species
UACGUAGGGUGCGAGCGUUGUCCGGAAUUACUGGGCGUAAAGGGCGCGUAGGCGGCGCGGUAAGUCACUUGUGAAAUCUCUGAGCUUAACUCAGAACGGCCAAGUGAUACUGCAGUGCUAGAGUGCAGAAAGGGCAAUCGGAAUUCUUGGUGUAGCGGUGAAAUGCGUAGAUAUCAAGAGGAACACCUGAGGCGAAGGCGGGUUGCUAGGCUGACACUGACGCUGAGGCGCGAAAGCCAGGGGAGCAAACGGG